GAAAUGCGAUAAGUAAUGUGAAUUGCAGAAUUCAGUGAAUCAUCGAAUCUUUGAACGCACCUUGCGCUCCUUGGUAUUCCUUGGAGCUUGCCUGUUUGAGUAUCAUGAAAUCUUCAAAGUAAAUCUUUUGUUAACUCAAUUGGUUUCUACUUUGGUAUUGGAGGUCUUUGCAGCUUCACACCUGCUCCUCUUUGUUCAUUAGCUGGAUCUCAGUGUUAUGCUUGGUUCCACUCGGCGUGAUAAGUUAUCUAUCGCUGAGGACACUGUAAAAGGUGGCCAAGGUAAAUGCAGAUGAACCGCUUCUAAUAGUCCAUUGACUUGGACAAUACUUUUAUGAUCUGAUCUCAAAUCAGGUAGGACUACCCGCUGAACUUAAGC
rnacentral:misc_RNA from 1 species